rnacentral:misc_RNA from 1 species
UACGAAGGGGGCUAGCGUUGCUCGGAAUUACUGGGCGUAAAGGGCGCGUAGGCGGGUCGUUAAGUCAGAGGUGAAAGCCCAGGGCUCAACCCUGGAAUUGCCCUUGAUACUGGCGACCUUGAGUAUGGCAGAGGUGUGUGGAACUCCGAGUGUAGAGGUGAAAUUCGUAGAUAUUCGGAAGAACACCAGUGGCGAAGGCGACACACUGGGCCAUUACUGACGCUGAGGCGCGAAAGCAAGGGGAUCAAACAGG